rnacentral:rRNA from 1 species
GAUGAACGCUGGCGGCAUGCUUAACACAUGCCAGUCGGACGGGAAGUGGUGUUUCCCGUGGCGGACGGGUGAGUAACGCGUAAGAACCUGCCCUUGGGAGGGGAACAACCGCUGGCAACGGCUGCUAAUACCCCGUAGGCUGAGGAGCAAAAGGAGGCGUCCGCCUGAGGAGGGGCUCGCGGCUGAUUAGCUAGUUGGUGGGGUAGUAGCUUACCAAGGCGGUGAUGAGUAGCCGGUCCGAGGGGGUGAUCGGCAACAAUGGGAGUGAGGAACGGCCGAGAAGACUACGAGAGGCAGCAGUGGGGAAUAAUGUACCAUGAGCGGAAGCCUCAUGAAGCAACGACGCCUGGGGGAUGAAGGACUUCGGCUGGUCGACAGCUUCCGCCCGCGACGAAGCGGCAGUGACGGUAACUGGUGAAGAAGCACCGGCUAACUACGUG